rnacentral:rRNA from 1 species
GAACGCUGGCGGCGUGCCUAAUACAUGCAAGUCGAGCGGAAUGAUGAAGAAGCUUGCUUCUUCUGAUUUUAGCGGCGGACGGGUGAGUAACACGUGGGCAACCUACCUUGUAGACUGGGAUAACUCCGGGAAACCGGAGCUAAUACGGGAUGAUCAUUUGAAUCGCAUGAUUGAAAUGUAAAAGUGGGGAGUAAUCCUCACACUAUGAGAUGGGCCCGCGGCGCAUUAGCUAGUUGGUAGGGUAAUGGCCUACCAAGGCGACGAUGCGUAGCCGACCUGAGAGGGUGAUCGGCCACACUGGGACUGAGACACGGCCCAGACUCCUACGGGAGGCAGCAGUAGGGAAUCUUCCACAAUGGACGAAAGUCUGAUGGAGCAACGCCGCGUGAGUGAAGAAGGUUUUCGGAUCGUAAAACUCUGUUGUAAGGGAAGAACACGUACGAGAGUAACUGCUCGUACCUUGACGGUACCUUAUUAGAAAGCCACGGCUAACUACGUG